GACGGACCGGGUGGGCUAAACGCCAGAAGCAGCCCAGCCUGUGAGUCUCGCAUCACGAUUGGGGCCUGAACUGGCCCAACUUCUUAGCAGCACUCCCGACCGUCGUGAUAACCGGCGGCAGGUGUGCGGGUGAUGGCCGAGGCGGUGCGAAGCAGCCGGCGGCGGGCGGGAGCGGAGCAACACGCCCAUCGGGUUGCCGUCCUUGGACUGGAGUUCCUGCACGGCAGGUGCCUCCUCGACCGGAUCGCUCUUCGGCGGGAUCAAGCCCAAACCGACCUCCCCGUCCUCGCCCGCAAGUGCAUGGCAUGUGCGGGGAUCUGCACGGUUGCACCCUGGGGCGCCUCGCCACCCACGAGGCCGGCCUGCGGGAGAUCAACGCCGCCGUCGACCUGCUCCUGCAGGGGAAGACGGGAGAUCAACGCCGCCGUCGACCUGCUCCUGCAGGGGAAGAGCGAGCCUCCGCUACCUCAUCUGGAAUUCUGGAUGCACAGGUGAUGUGAUGUGGUGUUGCCAGCCUCUCAAGGAAGGAACGGCGGCGCUCCAGUUUGCGUCUGUGGCUAGAGUUAUCCACAUCAGAUCAAUUGUAGCAGGGUAGCUGGAGAUCCAAAAGGAAGAGCCAUGCUGAAAAAGGUCAAAAGAAAACAUUAACCUUCCAGAUCCUAAGGUAAGUGAUUCCUAGUUUCCCAGAUUAGACUGAAGGCUGCUUAGUCCGUGGUUAUCACGAAUCCACCAAGUCAGUAAAAGAACCAUGCUAUUUACUACCGAGUACCGAUACCUUGGUCCGAGCGGAUUAAUGGAAAGGCUUUCGUUCUACUAAUUGGACGUUGUUAUCGGGAUAAGCAUUGACCCAAUGGCAACAGCAUCAGGCAGUGGUUUUGAGCAGGCUUUGCUUGUCGUUGAAUCAAACGCAGGUGAACAGGGCUUCCCAACGAUCUUCUCUUCUUCACAAGUAAUCUCAGGAGCUCCUGAUGCACUGUGCACCAAGUUGGGAUGAUAUCAACCUUCUUCCAGCAUUGCUGUUCUCCAGCUGAAGCAGAUUUCACGUCUGAAGCCACAGGCUGGUAUGUUGGAGUUGGAGAUGGUCUUGCCUUCACAGGAUUCUCAUGGACCUGGUUUCCAUAGCAAUGGCUUUCUUUCUGUUUGUUUGUUGUGGAAGCUUCCCUAGUGAGGUUCCCAGAUUCUUGCCAUGAACCAUGGUGCGUGUCCAAAUUGAGGUUCUGUAGAUUGUCAGUCAGAUUGUUUGUCCCGCUGACAAUUCUGUCCA